rnacentral:rRNA from 1 species
AUUGAACGCUGGCGGCAUGCCUAACACAUGCAAGUCGAGCGGAUGAAGGGAGCUUGCUCUUGGAUUCAGCGGCGGACGGGUGAGUAAUGCCUAGGAAUCUGCCUGGUAGUGGGGGAUAACGUCCGGAAAGGGGCGCUAAUACCGCAUACGUCCUGAGGGUGAAAGUGGGGGAUCUUCGGACCUCACGCUAUUAGAUGAGCCUAGGUCGGAUUAGCUAGUUGGUGGGGUAAAGGCUUACCAAGGCGACGAUCCGUAACUGGUCUGAGAGGAUGAUCAGUCACACUGGAACUGAGACACGGUCCAGACUCCUACGGGAGGCAGCAGUGGGGAAUAUUGGACAAUGGGCGAAAGCCUGAUCCAGCCAUGCCGCGUGUGUGAAGAAGGUCUUCGGAUUGUAAAGCACUUUUAGUUGGGAAGAAGGGCUGUGAGUUAAUACCUUGCUGUUUUGACGGUACCUAAAGAAUAAGCACCGGCUAACUACGUG